AGUGUCCAUGCCUCUGACCAGCCGUAUGGAACUGGCUUAGGCCAAAGAACUGGCCAGGUUACAGUCCCCACAGAGUACCCGCUCCAUGAGUGUCCAGGAACUGCAGGGGCAGAUGACUGCUGGCAGGGGGUGAAUGGUUCUCUGCAGAGAGUGACCUCCUCAAACCUGUCCCAGCUGAUGCCUUGGGACUUUCAGGCAAUGAUACUCCAGGUCCCUCUCACAAUACUGCCCUAGCCAGGGGCACUGGCCAGCCUGGUUCCAGGCCCACAUGGCCUAGUCAGUG
rnacentral:lncRNA from 1 species